rnacentral:rRNA from 1 species
GAUGAACGCUGGCGGCGUGCCUAAUACAUGCAAGUCGAGCGAACGGACGAUAAGCUUGCUUCUCUGGUGUUAGCGGCUGACGGGUGAGUAACACGUGGAUAACCUACCUAUAAGACUGGGAUAACUUCGGGAAACCGGAGCUAAUACCGGAGGAUAUUUUGAACCGCAUGGUUCAAAAGUGAAAGACGGUCUUGCUGUCACUUAUAGAUGGAUCCGCGCUGCAUUAGCUAGUUGGUAAGGUAACGGCUUACCAAGGCAACGAUGCAUAGCCGACCUGAGAGGGUGAUCGGCCACACUGGAACUGAGACACGGUCCAGACUCCUACGGGAGGCAGCAGUAGGGAAUCUUCCGCAAUGGGCGCAAGCCUGACGGAGCAACGCCGCGUGAGUGAUGAAGGUCUUCGGAUCGUAAAACUCUGUUAUUAGGGAAGAACAUAUGUGUAAGUAACUGUGCACAUCUUGACGGUACCUAAUCAGAAAGCCACGGCUAACUACGUG